rnacentral:rRNA from 1 species
GUAGUCAUAUGCUUGUCUCAAAGAUUAAGCCAUGCAUGUCUAAGUAUAAGCAAUCUAUACGGUGAAACUGCGAAUGGCUCAUUAAAUCAGUUAUCGUUUAUUUGAUAGUACCUUACUACUUGGAUAACCGUGGUAGUUCUAGAGCUAAUACAUGCUAAAAACCUCGACUUCGGAAGGGGUGUAUUUAUUAGAUAAAAAACCAAUGCCCUUCGGGGCCCCUUGGUGAUUCAUAAUAACUUAACGAAUCGCAUGGCCUUGUGCCGGCGAUGGUUCAUUCAAAUUUCUGCCCUAUCAACUUUCGAUGGUAGGAUAGUGGCCUACCAUGGUUUCAACGGGUAACGGGGAAU